rnacentral:rRNA from 1 species
UUAAGCGACUAAGCGUACACGGUGGAUGCCCUGGCAGUCAGAGGCGAUGAAGGACGUGCUAAUCUGCGAAAAGCGUCGGUAAGGUGAUAUGAACCGUUAUAACCGGCGAUGUCCGAAUGGGGAAACCCAGUGCAAUUCGUUGCACUAUCGUUAACUGAAUACAUAGGUUAACGAGGCGAACCGGGGGAACUGAAACAUCUAAGUACCCCGAGGAAAAGAAAUCAACCGAGAUUCCCCCAGUAGCGGCGAGCGAACGGGGAGCAGCCCAGAGUCUGAAUCAGCUUGUGUGUUAGUGGAACGGUCUGGAAAGUCCGACGGUACAGGGUGAUAGUCCCGUACACCAAAAUGCACAGGCUGUGAACUCGAAGAGUAGGGCGGGACACGUGGUAUCCUGUCUGAAUAUGGGGGGACCAUCCUCCAAGGCUAAAUACUCCUGACUGACCGAUAGUGAACCAGUACCGUGAGGGAAAGGCGAAAAGAACCCCGGCGAGGGGAGUGAAAAAGAACCUGAAACCGUGUACGUACAAGCAGUGGGAGCACCUUCGGGUGUGACUGCGUACCUUUUGUAUAAUGGGUCAGCGACUUAUAUUCUGUAGCAAGGUUAACCGUAUAGGGGAGCCGCAGGGAAACCGAGUCUUAACUGGGCGUUAAGUUGCAGGGUAUAGACCCGAAACCCGGUGAUCUAGCCAUGGGCAGGUUGAAGGUUGGGUAACACUAACUGGAGGACCGAACCGACUAAUGUUGAAAAAUUAGCGGAUGACUUGUGGCUGGGGGUGAAAGGCCAAUCAAACCGGGAGAUAGCUGGUUCUCCCCGAAAGCUAUUUAGGUAGCGCCUCGUGAAUUCAUCUUCGGGGGUAGAGCACUGUUUCGGCUAGGGGGUCAUCCCGACUUACCAACCCGAUGCAAACUACGAAUACCGAAGAAUGUUAUCACGGGAGACACACGGCGGGUGCUAACGUCCGUCGUGAAGAGGGAAACAACCCAGACCGCCAGCUAAGGUCCCAAAGUCAUGGUUAAGUGGGAAACGAUGUGGGAAGGCACAGACAGCCAGGAUGUUGGCUUAGAAGCAGCCAUCAUUUAAAGAAAGCGUAAUAGCUCACUGGUCGAGUCGGCCUGCGCGGAAGAUGUAACGGGGCUAAACCAUGCACCGAAGCUGCGGCAGCGACACUAUGUGUUGUUGGGUAGGGGAGCGUUCUGUAAGCCUGCGAAGGUGUGCUGUGAGGCAUGCUGGAGGUAUCAGAAGUGCGAAUGCUGACAUAAGUAACGAUAAAGCGGGUGAAAAGCCCGCUCGCCGGAAGACCAAGGGUUCCUGUCCAACGUUAAUCGGGGCAGGGUGAGUCGACCCCUAAGGCGAGGCCGAAAGGCGUAGUCGAUGGGAAACAGGUUAAUAUUCCUGUACUUGGUGUUACUGCGAAGGGGGGACGGAGAAGGCUAUGUUAGCCGGGCGACGGUUGUCCCGGUUUAAGCAUGUAGGCUGGUUAUCCAGGCAAAUCCGGAUAAUCAAGGCUGAGGUGUGAUGACGAGGCACUACGGUGCUGAAGUAACAAAUGCCCUGCUUCCAGGAAAAGCCUCUAAGCAUCAGGUAACAUCAAAUCGUACCCCAAACCGACACAGGUGGUCAGGUAGAGAAUACCAAGGCGCUUGAGAGAACUCGGGUGAAGGAACUAGGCAAAAUGGUGCCGUAACUUCGGGAGAAGGCACGCUGGUGUGUAGGUGAAGCCCCUGCGGGUGGAGCUGAGACCAGUCGAAGAUACCAGCUGGCUGCAACUGUUUAUUAAAAACACAGCACUGUGCAAACACGAAAGUGGACGUAUACGGUGUGACGCCUGCCCGGUGCCGGAAGGUUAAUUGAUGGGGUUAUCCGUAAGGAGAAGCUCUUGAUCGAAGCCCCGGUAAACGGCGGCCGUAACUAUAACGGUCCUAAGGUAGCGAAAUUCCUUGUCGGGUAAGUUCCGACCUGCACGAAUGGCGUAAUGAUGGCCAGGCUGUCUCCACCCGAGACUCAGUGAAAUUGAACUCGCUGUGAAGAUGCAGUGUACCCGCGGCAAGACGGAAAGACCCCGUGAACCUUUACUAUAGCUUGACACUGAACAUUGAGCCUUGAUGUGUAGGAUAGGUGGGAGGCUUUGAAGCGUGGACGCCAGUCUGCGUGGAGCCAACCUUGAAAUACCACCCUUUAAUGUUUGAUGUUCUAACGUUGGCCCCUUAUCGGGGUUGCGGACAGUGUCUGGUGGGUAGUUUGACUGGGGCGGUCUCCUCCCAAAGCGUAACGGAGGAGCACGAAGGUUAGCUAAUCCUGGUCGGACAUCAGGAGGUUAGUGCAAUGGCAUAAGCUAGCUUGACUGCGAGCGUGACGGCGCGAGCAGGUGCGAAAGCAGGUCAUAGUGAUCCGGUGGUUCUGAAUGGAAGGGCCAUCGCUCAACGGAUAAAAGGUACUCCGGGGAUAACAGGCUGAUACCGCCCAAGAGUUCAUAUCGACGGCGGUGUUUGGCACCUCGAUGUCGGCUCAUCACAUCCUGGGGCUGAAGUAGGUCCCAAGGGUAUGGCUGUUCGCCAUUUAAAGUGGUACGCGAGCUGGGUUUAGAACGUCGUGAGACAGUUCGGUCCCUAUCUGCCGUGGGCGCUGGAGAAUUGAGGGGGGCUGCUCCUAGUACGAGAGGACCGGAGUGGACGCAUCACUGGUGUUCGGGUUGUCAUGCCAAUGGCACUGCCCGGUAGCUAAAUGCGGAAGAGAUAAGUGCUGAAAGCAUCUAAGCACGAAACUUGCCCCGAGAUGAGUUCUCCCUGAGACUUUAAGUCUCCUGAAGGAACGUUAAAGACGAUGACGUUGAUAGGCCGGGUGUGUAAGCGCAGCGAUGCGUUGAGCUAACCGGUACUAAUGAACCGUGAGGCUUAACCUU